GACCCCUGAAUGGUAUACUCACAAAGGUGAAGCUUGGAACAAUCAAGGGUUCAGGGAGCCUGGAGCCAAUCCCAGAAGACCCAGGGCACAACUCAUUGCAGGGCACAAUCACACACACACUCACACACUUAUUCAAACACUAUGGACAAUUUAGAGAGCCCGACCAGUUUUUGCCCUGGGGGGAGGAAACUGGAGUACCCAGAGGAAACUCCUAAUGCACAGAGAGAACAUGCAAAAUUGAACCCUCAAGCAAGCCUCUCUUUUCUAGGUUUGUUUUCUGUCUCCUACUGUUCUGGGUCAAUAUGUACAGAGGUGCGUGGGCAGUGGGGCUCAGGACUUGCAGUGCACCAUGCCUAAUGGAAUUGAUAUGGCAAGAAGCUGGCAAUUACAGAAGACCACACGGACCACUAGACAGCCAAAUAUCCGCCCUGCUUUGCCCCUAAAACAAUGUCAAUAUCAGUGAAAAAAAGUGUGAAAAUAAGAGUGUUGGAGAGCUUCAAAUACAGAACAAGUGUUAAUAUGUGUAACACAAAAUGUACCUUUUAAGAAAUUCCAAUCUUUUAAUAUAUGCAGCAAGCUGUCACAAUAUUCCAACAGUCUGUGUGCAAGAGCUGUCUUUUAUGUCUAGCUAUGCACUGGGGCAGCAGCAGGAAGGCAGAAGAUUCCAGCAGAUUGAACAAAUUGCAAAGGUUGG